UCAAGAAGAGUACAACAAACCGAGCAAGACUGCCCGAUGUGGCGACGACCCCGAUAAGAUCCAUGUAUCUUGUUCUCAGGACACAUCAGAUAAGCUACGCAUACAAAGGCCUGAUAGAAAUGACCCAAGUUGCCCUGGGUUGGCCCCGCACAAUGCUCUGGGUUGGAGCAACACUCAUGAGGAGCACUGGCCCGUGGGUUCAUUAAUUAUCCUCGGGUUAGCUAUUCCCUAUGCAUUUUUAUUAAGUUAUUUGGCAAAUGGAGUACCAAUGUUGGGUCUUGGCAAACGUGUCUUAAACCAAGACAAUUUAUCAAGGGGGUCAACAUAACAACCCCAAGCAUGUUACGAGCGCUCAAUGUGGAACAUAACAUCGGUAACCGGAAUCUAGGGCGACAAAAGUGGAACAAAACACUAAUCAAAAGGCCAAGACUUCCGCCUUUCAACAAGUAUAUAUGUGCAUUAAAUUAAAUAGAAAUAAUAAAAUGAUAUCUCAAAUAUCCAUGUAAGCACGUGGAUCACCUGCGCGUGCAACUAGCAACACUAUAAGAGGGGUUGAGCAAGCGCUAACUUAGCCAAUCAAUGUUUGCUAGGAUGUGAAUGGAUUAGAGUCUUAUCAUGGCAUUUUGGGAGGCUUCAUAUUUAGGUAGUAGGC
rnacentral:lncRNA from 1 species